CCAAGGUGGGCAUAGUUUAAACCAAAACAUCAGACCGUGGACCUGAUAAUAGAAACUUAUCCC
rnacentral:tRNA from 1 species